rnacentral:rRNA from 1 species
CGGCAGCACGGGCUUCGGCCUUGUUGCGAGUGGCGACCGGUAGUAUCCAUCGGAACGUCCCCAGAAGUGGGGAUUACGUAGCGAAAGUUCGCUUAAUACCCGCAUACGUUCUUCGGAAGAAAGUGGGGGUUCGCAAAGACCUCAUGCUUUUUGGAGCGGCCAUAUGUCUGAUUAGCUAGUUGGUGAGGUAAAGGCUCACCAAGGCGUCGAUCAGUAGCUGGUCUGAGAGGCCGACCACCCACACUAAAACUGAGCCCGGUCCAGACUCCUACGGGAGGCAGCAGUGGGGAAUUUUGGACAAUGGGCGCAAGCCUGAUCCAGCAAUGCCGCGUGAGUGAAGAAGGCCUUCGGGUUGUAAAGCUCUUUGUGUUGGACGCCCCGGCGGGGGCUAAUAUCCUUUGCUAAUGCGG